CCUACGGGUGGCAGCAGUGGGGAAUAUUGCACAAUGGGCGAAAGCCUGAUGCAGCAACGCCGCGUGAAGGAAGAAGGCUUUCGGUGUGUAAAGCUCUAUCAGCAGGGACGAAAAUAACGAUACUUGCGGAAUAAGCACCGGCUGCUUACGUGCCGGCAGCCGCGGCAAUACGACGGAGGCGGGCGUUAUCCGGAGUUACUGGGUGUAAAGGGGGGGUAGUCGGCGGUGUAAGUCAGGAGUGAAAGGAGGGUGCUCAACCCCCGGAGUGCUUUUGAUACUGUACGGAUGGAGUGCAGGAGAGGUAAGCGGAAUGUGUAGUGUAGCGGUGAAAUGCGUAGAUAUUAGGAAGAACACCAGUGGCGAAGGCGGCUUACUGGGCUGGAACUGACGCUGAGGCACGAAAGCGUGGGGAGCGAACAGGAUUAGAUACCCGAGUAGUC
rnacentral:rRNA from 1 species